UUUAAUUGAAGAGUUUGAUCAUGGCUCAGAUUGAACGCUGGCGGCAGGCCUAACACAUGCAAGUCGAGCGGUAACAG
rnacentral:rRNA from 6 species